rnacentral:rRNA from 1 species
AGAGUUUGAUCCUGGCUCAGAUUGAACGCUGGCGGCAGGCUUAACACAUGCAAGUCGAGCGGAGAUGAGGUGCUUGCACCUUAUCUUAGCGGCGGACGGGUGAGUAAUGCUUAGGAAUCUGCCUAUUAGUGGGGGACAACAUUCCGAAAGGAAUGCUAAUACCGCAUACGUCCUACGGGAGAAAGCAGGGGAUCUUCGGACCUUGCGCUAAUAGAUGAGCCUAAGUCGGAUUAGCUAGUUGGUGGGGUAAAGGCCUACCAAGGCGACGAUCUGUAGCGGGUCUGAGAGGAUGAUCCGCCACACUGGGACUGAGACACGGCCCAGACUCCUACGGGAGGCAGCAGUGGGGAAUAUUGGACAAUGGGGGGAACCCUGAUCCAGCCAUGCCGCGUGUGUGAAGAAGGCCUUAUGGUUGUAAAGCACUUUAAGCGAGGAGGAGGCUACUGAGACUAAUACUCUUGGAUAGUGGACGUUACUCGCAGAAUAAGCACCGGCUAACUCUGUGCCAGCAGCCGCGGUAAUACAGAGGGUGCGAGCGUUAAUCGGAUUUACUGGGCGUAAAGCGUGCGUAGGCGGCUUUUUAAGUCGGAUGUGAAAUCCCCGAGCUUAACUUGGGAAUUGCAUUCGAUACUGGGAAGCUAGAGUAUGGGAGAGGAUGGUAGAAUUCCAGGUGUAGCGGUGAAAUGCGUAGAGAUCUGGAGGAAUACCGAUGGCGAAGGCAGCCAUCUGGCCUAAUACUGACGCUGAGGUACGAAAGCAUGGGGAGCAAACAGGAUUAGAUACCCUGGUAGUCCAUGCCGUAAACGAUGUCUACUAGCCGUUGGGGCCUUUGAGGCUUUAGUGGCGCAGCUAACGCGAUAA